GAUUAACGCUGGCGGCGUGCCUAAUACAUGCAAGUCGAACGGAGAAUUAGCAAUAGUUCUUAGUGGCGAAUGGGUGAGUAACGCGUUGGUGACCUGCCCCAAAGUGAGGGAUAACAGUUCGAAAGGACUGCUAAUACCACAUGUGGUUAGUGGAUUUAGAAACUGCUAACUAAAGGAGUAAUUCGCUUUGGGAGGGGCCUGCGUCCCAUCAGCUAGUUGGUAGGGUAAUAGCCUACCAAGGGCUACGACGGGUAGGGGGCCUGAGAGGGUGGCCCCCCACACUGGCGACUGAAACAACGGGCCGACGACACCUACGGGAGGCAG
rnacentral:rRNA from 1 species